rnacentral:rRNA from 1 species
GCCCUAAACCUCAGUAGUUAAACAACAAAACUACUCGCCAGAAUACUACGAGCAACGGCUUAAAACUCAAAGGACUUGACGGUGCUUUACAUCCCCCUAGAGGAGCCUGUUUCAUAAUCGAUAAACCCCGAUCUACCCUACCCUCUCUUGCUCAGCCUAUAUACCGCCAUCUUCAGCAAACCCUGAUAAAGGUCACAAAGUGAGCGCAAACGCCUCCCCGCAAAAACGUUAGGUCAAGGUGUAGCCCAUGAGACGGUAAAAAAUGGGCUACAUUUUCUGUAUCAGAAAACUCCACGAAAACUCUUAUGAAAUUUAAGAGUCCAAGGAGGAUUUAGCAGUAAAUUAAGAAUAGAGUGCUUAGUUGAACGAGGCCAUAAAGCGCGCACACACCGCCCGUCACUCCCCUCAAAUAUAUUUAAGGAACGUCUUAACUAAACACCCCAAUAUCUAUAUAGAGGGGAUAAGUCGUAACAUGGUAAGUGUACUGGAAGGUGCACUUGGAUAAAU